rnacentral:sRNA from 1 species
UCAACAGUAAUGUGGGUGUCAACACAAC